rnacentral:lncRNA from 1 species
CAAAAACAGAGAGGAAAAGGAGCAGAAAUUGAGUAUAGACUUGGGGGAGAGAAUUGGCUCACUACAAAAGCCAAAUACUUUUGAUUUCUUGUUAUUAAUUACAAAGCAAUAUAGUUACUGAAUUGCUGUAUUACAAUUUCCAUUUACCAGUUGCUGUCAACAGAAAUAAAUCUAUAUACAUUCUGCUGAAUUAUUCUUGAACUGAAUCUUCUUCCGUAUUGUUUCUUUGAUUGUGUGUUGAGCAGCCAUAGGAACAGGAACUUAUCAGUUUACAGCAUAAACCCAAUAUCCAAGAUAUCCAAACUUUUCGUGCUUGAUCGAGGUCCCAAGCCCAUGUAGUUUGUUACCAAUCCCAUAAUGCCGAACCUGGUUCCCGAAAAAACAAAACAAUGGCAAUCAUUACAAAGUAUCCACAAGGAGAACAGACUGUAAAACAAAGAAAGCAUCUAGUCUUUUCUGCAAGGUCGAUAAAGAGGUGUACCCAUCAAGUCAAACAGAAACCAGAUCAAAUACCUUACGGCACCUAUAGUAACAUCUUGGCCUUUCCAAUUUAUUUUAUGCAUAGUUGCUUAAAUCUUCAACUAUUAAAAUAAAAUAAUCUCAAAAUAAUUAACUCUAACUCCUAACAUGAGCAUUCAGUGUACAUCUAAAAAAAGUACUGGUAAUGAGAGGGCAAGUGUUUUGCCAAUUGUAUCACCCAAACACUAAUGCAGGUCAUGGACAAGCAUGAACAAGUAGAUUCAUACCUUUCCAGUUCUUAAAGUGCCAAACUUCAAACUACCCAAAGGCAACAAACCCUAUUUGUUUCUAGUUUCACCCAAAUAAGGAACGAAAUAAGUGAAUUAAACGUCUCA